CCUACGGGAGGCAGCAGUGGGGAAUAUUGCACAAUGGGGGAAACCCUGAUGCAGCGACGCCGCGUGAGUGAAGAAGUAAUUCGUUAUGUAAAGCUCUAUCAGCAGGGAAGAAAAUGACGGUACCUGAGUAAGAAGUCCCGGCUAACUACGUGCCAGCAGCCGCGGUAAUACGUAGGGGGCAAGCGUUAUCCGGAUUUACUGGGUGUAAAGGGAGCGUAGACGGCGUGCCAAGUCUGGUGUGAAAGGCCGGGGCUCAACCCGGGGACUGCAUUGGAAACUGGCAUGCUGGAGUGCCGGAGGGGCAAGCGGAAUUCCUGGUGUAGCGGUGAAAUGCGUAGAUAUUAGGAGGAACACCGGUGGCGAAGGCGGCCUGCUGGACGGUAACUGACGUUGAGGCUCGAAAGCGUGGGGAGCAAACAGGAUUAGAUACCCCUGUAGUC
rnacentral:rRNA from 1 species